AUUGAACGCUGGCGGCAGGCCUAACACAUGCAAGUCGAACGAGUGGCGGACGGGUGAGUAAUGUCUGGGAAACUGCCCGAUGGAGGGGGAUAACUACUGGAAACGGUAGCUAAUACCGCAUACCAUCGGAUGUGCCCAGAUGGGAUUAGCUUGUAUGUGAGGGAACGGCUCACCUAGGCGACGAUCCCUAGCUGGUCUGAGAGGAUGACCAGCCACACUGGAACUGAGACACGGUCCAGACUCCAGCGGGAGGCAGCAGUGGGGAAUAUUGCACAUGGGGAGCAGGCCGGAUGCAGCCAGGCCGCUGGUAUGAAGAAGGCCUUCGGGUUGUAAAGUACUUUCAGCGGGGAGGCGUUACCCGCAGAAGAAGCACCGGCUAACUCCGUGCCAGCAGCCGCGGUAAUAC
rnacentral:rRNA from 1 species